UGCAUUAGGCUGAGAAAGCCGCAGGAAGUGACUGAGAGGGAAGAGAGAAAGCUUACUGUGUGUGCUGGUGUCACUUGACCCUCUCCACAUUACCCCAGGGGCAUCAGGACUUGAAGAACUGGCCCAAAAAUGCUGCUACUCUGGCUACUACCAUUGCUGUGAGUUAAAAACUGUCCUUUGUCUCUGACCCAGGAGUUCUAUGCCUUCUACCAGCAUCCAUGAAACUUGGCUGGCUAAAUUGUUAGCUUUCCAGUAGCUAUUAUGAAAUCUCAGGCCCUUUGUGAUUAUUUUUUUGUUUGUUGGUUUGGGUUUUGUACAUAUUUAUGGGGUACAUGUGACAUUGUGUCACAUGCGUAGAAUGUGUACUUCUACUUCAGGAUGUUUAGGAGAUCCAUCACCAUAAACUUUACCAUUUCUAUGUGUUGAGAACAUUUCAAGUUCUCACUUCUAGCUACAAUACAUUGUUGUUAACUGUAGUCACCUUACUCUACAAUUGAAUAUUACUGCUUAUUCCUUCUGUAUAACUGUAUGUUUGUACCCAUUAAUCAAUCUGUCUUCAUCUACACAUCUAAAUCCUUCCCAGUCUCUUGUCACCACCAUUUGAUUUUCCACCUCCAUGAGAUCCAUAUUUUAAGCUCCCACAUAUAAGUGAGUACAUGCAAUAUUUAUUUCUGUGUCUGGCUUAUUUAACUUGAUAUAAUGACCUACAGUUCCAUCUAUGUUGCUGUAAAUGACAUGAUUUCAUUCUUUUUUUGGACAAAUAGUAUUCCAUUGCAUAAAUAAA
rnacentral:lncRNA from 1 species